rnacentral:lncRNA from 1 species
AAAUUCACAUUCCUAGGUAGCAAAGGACAAGGUUUUAAAAGGCCUAAAUUGCAUAGGAUAAUAACAUCCAAUCCUAUAAGGAAAACAAGUCAAAAACCCAAAGGGAUUGGGAGAUAAUGUGCAGCAGAAAGAGUGUGAAAAGAUAAGGCUUCUAGAAACCAAAAAUCCCAAGGGAAAUAGGAAUUAGGUGCGGCAAUGAUCUAGGGUUCUAGAAGGAUAAUGCAAGGCAGAUUU